UUUUUUUUUUUUUUUUUUUUNGCCAGCAAGCCUGGCUUUCUGGUCCUUCACAAAGACCUUCAACUUACCCACUGUCUCAAGAUCAUCAGCGGGAAAGGGUCCAGAUGCAGGAGGUAAAGGGUCACAGCUUAUCUGUAAAGAGUCAGCCCCCUCAUUUUUCCAAAACAUUAGCAUCACCAAGUAUGGAAUUUUAGUACCAACUGAGAAGCCAGAGUUGAAGUAACUAAAAUCUACUAAACAUAAAAAUAAACAACAGUAUUUAACUGCUCCCUCUGGGCAGCAGGACUGAAGAUAGGGAGGGGAUGGGGCAGUGCUCUUUAAGUGAACACUUGUGUGUGGUUUGAUCAUUUUUAACCAGGUCUGAAAGGAAAGUAAAGAGGUCAAAUGGAUAAAAGAAAGUUGUUAGAUCAUUAUGACAAUGGACUGGAAUUAUAAUUACUCAAAGAAAGCUACUCUUGGGUCUGAAAGUGAUUCAAGGACUUAUUAUCUAAGAGUGGCUAAGUUAUAGGUUAUGCCUGAAAUUGUCAACGGGGAAAGCACAUUUCCCCUCUCUUGGCACCCCUUUGAUUUCAGCUCUCUCAAUACAACGGCAAUACAAUGCAUUCUCAAUACAAUGGCACUUAUAAAAAGAGCACUGAGAAAGAAUUACUUAGUAUUGAUCUCUGCUUGUUUAGCAGAACUAGGAUUUAGACAAGUCUGAAUCUAGGAAUAGCCUUGUUUCCUGAGAUAGAGUUAAGCAAGCUCUUUUAUUUCCAUAAAGUUUUUGGAGUUCCCAUUGUGGCUUAGUGGUAAUGAACCCAACCAGUAUCCAUGAGGACACAGGUUUGAUCCUUGGUCCCGCUCAGUGGAUUAAGGAUCCGGCAUUGCCCCAUGAGCUCAGAUUUGGCAUUGCUAUGGCUGUGGAGUAGCCCAGCAGCUGAAGCUCCAAUUCUCCUCCUAGCCUGGGAAUUUCCAUAUGCUGCAGGUGUGAACCUAAAAAGAAAAAAAAAAAAAGUAUUUAUUCACUUCUUGUAGUUCGAUUUUGAUAAUGCUGCAACACUACUCCAAACCUCUUCCUAUUUUGGAGGUGUGAGUCAGUUGUGAAAAAACCAUCCUGGUGGAUUUGCAAAGAAGGACCUGGCUUAAAACCAUCAUCCUGCCCAUAAAGAUAUAAAAGCUUAAAUCCAUCAUCCUGCCCAUAAAGAAGAUAUAAAAGGGUCAGAGUAAAGUUUGGAAGGGGUUGGAUGAUUUCUUUAGAGAGUCCUGCUAACCCUCCAACCAGAGAUGGUAGGUGUGAGAGGCCUACCUCUCUAACUUCAAGCUUAACAAGGGGCCUCCAAAAAAGCACCCUAAGAGCUUACAGUUCAGUUGUCCCAAUGGAUCGCUGACUUCCACCUGGGAAAUGUGGAGAACAGCAGAGUCUUCCUCACUAGCUGAUUCUUUUUCUUGCAGUCUUUCAGAGGUUCUUCCUGCAGUGCCUUUCCUCCAGCAAGCCCCCGAUUACAAACCCCCUGGCAACCUCCCCUCCUAACAGUUCAGCUCUAGGCUCUCUGCUGAGGUCUCCUCACCUCUGAGAAAGACCCUUAAGGAAAGUUCUUUUCCAAGAGCUAACCACCAUGCCAGCUCCCUACCGCAGACCCACUUGGCACAGAGGAAAUUCCUCUCAUUAUGUGAGAAAAACUCUUCUCUCAUUAUAACUACAAUUUGUUCAUAACUUUAUUCAACCCAGGGAAGGAAACUGCAUUGUCCCACUUGCAAGGCUUUUAAUUAACAUCUUGGCCACCAGCCAUAAAUAACAAUUCAAAGACAGGAUAUCGGUACUUCCACUACAAAGAGACCAAAACACACACACACACACACACACACACACACACACUUUAGAUUUCUGGUUUGCAGUCGAGGCUGCAAAAUAUUCCACCGUGUGUGUGUAUACAUAUCUUUUUUAAUUGCCACACCCAAGGCUUGCGGAGUACCUGGGCCAGGGAUGGAACCCGUGCCACAACAGCCAUUGGAGCCACAAAAGUGACAAUGGCGGAUCCUUAACCCACUAAGCCACCAGGGAACUCCACUAUGCGUACACAGCUAUAUUUUAAUUAACCAAUUCCCUAUUGAUAGGCUGUUAAAUUACUACCAACUUAAUUUAUUAACACAAUUCGUGCAAACCAAACUGCAGAGUCACCUGGGACUCCAGUCAGGCAGGAGCUAGGAUUGUAAGACAGCAGGAGAAAGAAACUCGACACCAAGCAGGCCUCUGCGCCUGCGCACUGGAGCCGACUCAUUGCCCCAGCAGCACGCAAGCAUCAACCAGGCAGCGGAUUCCACGUCCCUUUUCCCUGCUCCCGUAAGCCACCUGGGAGAAAGGUAGCUUUCACUCCUCCUGCUUCCCAGCGGAACCUGUUUCCACAGGGUUAAGGGGGUACUUCUGCAACAGCCCAGUCCUGGAGGAGAACGCCACCAAAGUACCUCCCGGCCGGAAGGGUGCAUUCAUCCGCCUACCUGGGGACUGGGCUGGGUUCCGGGGAGGAAGGGAGCCUAUCAGAGCCAAGGACCCGCCCCCUUAGCAUCACUGGUUCGGGACAGGUGCGGUGGUAUUGUACUCAAUGAUUUGUAAGGGUUAAAGAAAACACUGAAAGUUCCUGAUGCUUAAAGAGCAUAAAUUAGUUGUGGCUAUUGUUACUGCUUCCAUGUCUACUCAUUUUCCUUCGGGCGAUAGUAGUAGUUUGAUUCCACCUCUCCCAAGAUUCAUCCUGGCGCACUCAAUCACCUUUCACCUUCUCAAGAACUUCUAAUGAGUCAUCACCCCUGUGGCCUUCACUUUGUACUUUUCUAACUGGACCUUCUUCAGCCCAUCUCCCCAUCAUUUAUACACAGAUAUCCUGUUGUCUUGGCUCCUCACCGAAAUAUCUACCUCUCCUGUGGCUCUUCCUGACUCUAAAAAUUACCACAUCCGUCUGAAAUCUGAAUCUGAAAGACGAGUGGGCAUUACUAGGUGUGUGUUUGGUUGUUGGGGUGGGUGAGAGUGGGAGAGAUGUGGACCAAGGAAACUGCCUAAGCAAAGGUCCUGAGACAAGUGGGACAAAGUAUUGGAGGACCUAAAAGAAGGCCACUGUGUCUCAGCAUGACUGGAAAGCAGAAGGUGAAGAGGUAAAGUAGUAAGAGAUAUGAAUAGGCAAGCAGUAGCCAGGUCCUGCAAAGCUAAAUAUUUGGGAUCUUUUUCCCUAAAAGUAAUGAAUGCCACCGAACAAUUUGAAUCUUUAUGUAGUUAAAAGAAUAUUCAACUACCCCCAAUCAAUGAAAAUAAAAUGGAUCAUACAAAUACAUGAAAUGGAUAAAAUCUAAAUUCUGCUCAUGUUAAGUGCUGGGAGCAAAAAAAAAGGUUUUUCUUAAUACAGAUACUAUUAUUACUACAAUAGCCUGCUUCUCUACCUCUAAUGGCUACUCAUGGUUCCUCUGAAAAGUAACACCUAGCUGUUACUGACAGCUUACUUAAUGCCAGCAUGUUAAGUGCUUUGCAUAAAUUACCUGACUUAAUAAAGCACCUUUACAAAGUGGGUACCAUUUAGAAACUGAGAUACAGAGUGCAGCUCACCCAAGUUCCAACAGUCAGUAUGCAAAUGACAGAGUAAGACAUGAAGCCAGAUAUCCAAUUAUAAAGUUAAAGCUCUUGACUCCUGCACUAAAUACUCCACUUAAACUUUAGGAAACUCAUCACUGCACCUGACUUUGAAUAUUUCCCCAAUGCCUUGGACUUCAUCCCACUAUGCCCACUCAUUAGCCCUUUUGCAAAUCAGUGUCAAACGGACUCCAGGCCAAGUAUGGAACACACACCCUUAGAUACCACACAGCAAAUCAAAGGCAACCUUUUGAGGGCCACCCCUAGAACCAGAGCACCCAGACACUUUCUCCUGGUGAUUCCAUCUGCUCUUGACUUAUUCUCCCCUUAGCAGCCUUUAUUCUGAUGCCACAAUCUUCUGGCGGCUAAACCUAACAGUUUUAACAAAUACUUGCUAAAGGAAUGCAAACUUACCUGAAUAUAAGCCAAAGAAAAACAAGGAGACAAAUCUAUUGUAAUCUUCUCCUAAGGAUAUUGUGAUUGUUUUCUCAUCCUGUUUGUGAUUUUCUAUGUUAAAUCUCGCCCUCUAUUCCUAUCAAGAGCUGGUAUGUUCCAAUUUGCAGAUUUAUAAGCAAUUAUGAAAAUAUCCACAAGAUGUCAGCCUUGAGCUGCAGUGAGGUUCCUGGGAUGCGGCAAAGGAGUCAACUGCUAAGGAGAAGGGAUAGAUGGGGAAGUCUGGGGAGUUUGGAUAGUUUCCUUUGCAGUAUGAACUAAGACAGGAACUGUAGUGAGCUUUUUGAAUGAACAGGGUGGUUUGAUUUUUCAAUGGGUAUAAAUAAUUAGAUCAAUUAAUCUGAUCAAUAAAUUACAUCAUAUCACUGCUCUGCUCAACAGGUCCCAAUAUGCCUCCCUCUUUUACAGAAUAAAAAGCAAACUCCUUACCACAGCAUAUCUAACACUGUACUUGUUGCACCCUUCCAUCCUCACCCACUUCAGCCACACAAUCUCCGAACACACCUGAAACACUUCACAAGGAAUUCUUGCAUGGUUGACGCAUUCAAUUCAGACCACCUUCUCAGAGGUCUUCCUGGACACCAUUUGCAAACCAGCACCCAUCCAGCACCACCCACCUAUAAUGCCCACCGACCUUACUGUGACUUAGAUUUCUCCUUAACACUUUUCACUGCCUAACAUAUAUUUACUUGAUUAUUAGUCUCACUCUGGAAUGUUAAUUUAACUCUCUGAAAGCAGCAACUCAUCUUGUUUGCUGCUUUUUCCCCAGAGCCUAUUAAAGUACCAGGCUUAUGAGAGAUGCCCAGUAAAUUCCAAAUAAAUGACCUUAAUUCAAAGAUAUUCAGAAAAGAUAUCAUACUUCAAAAAUUCAUUUGUUUUCAUUCAAUAAAUACUUAUUAAAUACCUAAUAUAAAGAAGGCAUUGAAUUACGGGAGGUACAAGAUAAUAAGACAUUAUCUUACUGAUGAGAAAUAUAGUCUCUUGCUCUUUAACUCAUAAAAUCCCAGUGAGAAAGCAUGCACAGUAUCUUAAAAGGUUUUACAAAAAGAACAACAUGAAUAUGACAACCAUGGCUGUACACUGUAAGAAAUUAUGGAACUGGAGUUCCCGUCAUGGCUCAGCAGUUAACAAACCCUACUGGUAUCCAUGAGGACUCAGGUUCGAUCCCUGGCCUCAAUCAGUGGGUUAAAGUUCCUGCAUUGCUAUGGCUGUGGCGUAGGCCGGCAGCUACAGCUCUGAUAUGACCCCUAGCCUGGGAACCUCUAUAUGCUGAAAGAGUGGCCCCAAAUCGACCAAAAAAAUUAAAAAUUAAAAAAAAUAAACUAGGGAACAACAAAAAUAUGAUGUGUGUGUUUAUCCUUGGGCAUUUCAUUUACUACCCUGUCUCCAAAUAAAAGAUUUUCAAUUCUUAAACCUUCUGAAGAUGUAUAUACACAGUAGCCUUUCUUUGUGGAUAACAUGAUUCCCUUCCCCAGCCUUUCCUUCCUCAUUUAUGUUGUUUUGUUCUCAGUAACAAUGGAGACUACCUAGUUACCCUUAUUCUUCAAUCUGCACUAUUUAAAGGUGUUCCUGGCUUUAAUCUUUAAUUUGGAGCUGAGUGGGUUAAUUCGUUUGUUGUUGUUGUUGUUGUUGGAGUUGAGUGGGUUUGUUUGUCUGUUGUUGUUGCCUGAAGACUCAUGACUAAAUUUCAUGAUUUCUAUGUCCAUUCUCCCCAUUCCAAUAUCCUGAGCCUCUGGGGUAUGGGGCGGGAACUGUAAUAACCAUGCCUUUUCUGCACAAAAUUUUGAAAGUCAAGAAAAAUAGUCCACUGAAUGCAUAUGUGGUCUCCAUCAAACCAUGGAAGUAACUUCAGGCUCCUUUGCUCCCUAAUCAAUUAUUUAGUCUCUUUCUGGCUGUCUACCCUCACAGAUGUCAUUUUGGAGAAGAAAAAAAAAAGAGAUGCUUAAAGGAGAUUAUUACUGGAAGAUGAUUUUUUUUUAAAGAAUAUGGGAGAAUGAUUAGUAAUCUUAAGUAAUUUUAUGCUCCAAUACAGGUUUGCCUGUAACGCUGGUGAUUUCAUGUGAGAAAGAUGUAUGAGUUUCAAGUAGAGAAAAUUUGGGGGUACUGUCUUCAUCUACAACCUAUGGUUUAAUUGGAUAUUUUCUCUCCUCUUGAAGAAAAUGUAGUCCUAUUUCUUAACAGUUGACAAGCAUAUGAAUCUUCUCCAUUGCUUUGAACGACAGCCAAGAUACCCCAUGCAUAAUUCUGUUCAUAUAUUUCUUCUCCUUACGGAAACUGUCCAAAUAAAUGUGGUCACUUGAAAGGUGCUGGUACAAUUAAAGUGUCAAACUCAUUUCAGUGGAUUUUAUUUUACCCUAAAACAACCUAUCUGCAUAGUUUGAAACUCUAAAGCUUAUUCAGGUAAAAGGCUGAAUAAGACUCCGAUAAAUUAGGAAUAUUAGCCUAUGAGAUUAUAAAAUAACUUGGCUGCUUAUUAACGUUGUGAUAUUAAUAAGCUAUAUGCAAGCUGCAGCCAUUAAGUAUUACCUUAAUGGGCUUACAGCAAGAAACUGGACUAAACCCUCCAGACUGUGGGGCUCACUGUAGUUCUAAAUUUAAGCUGAGAACAAUAUUUAGUGAAUUACAUCAGGGAGGUGUGGAAACCAGUGUUUGAUAGAGAAUUCUUGCCCUUACAAAGGUGGUAAGAGUCACAGACUGAUGAGGAGACAGUUCUUGAAAUGAGGGUCCAAGAAGAAUCAUUAGGAAGAAUAGCUUAACUUACAAGUCAGCCAACUUCUUUACCUCUUCCUUUCUUUAAGGACAUCUUUAUCCAGUUCUUCUUUCAAACUCAAACCACCAGAAUGUGCUCACAAAACCCCACAAUUUCACUGACCUGUGCUUCCUCUAACAAGCGUGUGGAUCUGCCCUCUCCUCUGGCCUGGGAUCUGUUAAUAUCCUCCUUGCCUGCCCUCCACAUGGUCAUUGAAGAUUAGCACCUCAAUUCAGUGGAUCCAAAAUAGGCCUUCUCGGCAGGAGCUACCUUCCCUGGGCUACGUUUAACUCUACAUUAGGCCACAACAGCACAAUACAGGUUAUGGCUUCCAAUCGGACCUUAUGUUCUGGUGCGGUGGGUUUUCUGGGCCAGAAGCCCCAGUCUCUCUGCCUCCCAUCUCCCUACUACCUGCCCACCUGAGCUGGGUUCCUCAGUAGGCCUGGCACCGGGGUGGGGGUGGGGUCCCCGCCAUCCCCUUCACCUCCUGGCUGAGUAUGUGAGGCCAGCCUGUGGGUUUCACUGCUAGGUGAUAAAAUGGACCCUGCCUCGGCUCCACAAAUGUUGCCUUCUCUACUGCCACACGAGAGCAUGCUGGUUCCCAGACAAAGUCUUUCUCCCGUCUUAGGUCUAAGAGGCAUUCUCCC
rnacentral:lncRNA from 1 species